rnacentral:miRNA from 15 species
CAUGUGUUAUGUAUGCAUAUCU